UCGCAGUGAUGAGUUUGAUACUUCAGGUCCGUGUUUAUGAUUAUUAUGAUCUUAAUGAAGUACUGAGCAG
rnacentral:snoRNA from 1 species